UACGUAGGGGGCUAGCGUUGUCCGGAAUCAUUGGGCGUAAAGAGCGCGUAGGCGGCCCGAUAAGUCUGCUGUGAAAGUCCAGGGCUCAACCCUGGAAUGCCAGUGGAUACUGUCGGGCUAGAGUACGGAAGAGGCGAGUGGAAUUCCUGGUGUAGCGGUGGAAUGCGCAGAUAUCAGGAGGAACACCAAUAGCGAAGGCAGCUCGCUGGGACGUUACUGACGCUGAGGCGCGAAAGCGUGGGGAGCAAACGGG
rnacentral:rRNA from 1 species